UAAGUAUAAAGAACAUUGCUGGAGACUCAGUGCCUGUAAAAGUCUGGUCUCAACAACAACAGCAGGGAGAGGAGCCUGGACACGUUAGAAAGAUGAAGAAUUCAGUGUUUAUUGUAGCUUUAUUCAUGGCCUGCUUGUGCAACGCUGGAGUUCUGGAGCUGGGUCAGCAAACAGAAGAAACUAAUAAUACCACCAGAACAGAGACAUGUUGCUGCUGUGGAAAAGCAGCUGGGAAUGACGGAAGCGAUAAGCCAGUGGAUCCACUGCAAUCACAACUCCAGGGCAACCGUGUAGCAUUCGGAGCCGCCCUCAGCGAUGUUGGAAAUCUGGGACCCUUUAACACUCACACUACAUUAGUCUACCGCUACGUCUUCGCAAACACAGGCGCAUACAAUCCAACGACAGGUAUUUUCACUACCCCAGUCAGAGGAAUCUAUUACUUCAGCUUCUCUGGUCAUAAUGCAUCAAGCAGACCAAUGGGCUUGCAGCUGAUGAAGAACGGAAGGCACAUGGUGACCGUUUAUAACCACCCGGCUGGAAAUCGCUUUGAGACGGCAACAAAUGGGAUGGUUCUGCAGCUUGAAGUGGGAGAACAGGUGUACAUGAGUC